rnacentral:rRNA from 1 species
GACGAACCGUGCGAACGUUGUUCGGAUUCACUGGGCUUAAAGGGCGCGUAGGCGGGCGGCCAGGCCCGGGGUGAAACCGUUCGGCUUAACCGGACGACUGCCCCGGGGACCGGCCGCCUCGAGGGGGGUAGGGGCACGCGGAACUUCCGGUGGAGCGGUGAAAUGCGUUGAUAUCGGAAGGAACUCCGGUGGCGAAAGCGGCGUGCUGGGCCCCGCCUGACGCUGAGGCGCGAAAGCCAGGGGAGCAAACGGGAUUAGAAACCCCCGUAGUCC